rnacentral:rRNA from 1 species
UACGGGGGGGGCAAGCGUUGUUCGGAAUUACUGGGCGUAAAGGGCUCGUAGGCGGCCAACUAAGUCCGACGUGAAAUCCCAAGGCUUAACCUUGGAACUGCGUCGGAUACUGGAUGGCUUGAAUUCGGGAGAGGGAUGCAGAAUUCCAGGUGUAGCGGUGAAAUGCGUAGAUAUCAGGAGGAACACCGGUGGCGAAGGCGGCUUCCUGGCCUGUUCUUGACGCUGAGGCGCGAAAGCUAGGGGAGCAAACGGG